rnacentral:rRNA from 1 species
GACGAACGCUGGCGGCGUGCUUAACACAUGCAAGUCGAACGGAAAGGCCCUGCUUUUGUGGGGUGCUCGAGUGGCGAACGGGUGAGUAACACGUGAGUAACCUGCCCUUGACUUUGGGAUAACUUCAGGAAACUGGGGCUAAUACCGGAUAGGAGCACCUGCUGCAUGGUGGGGGUUGGAAAGUUUCGGCGGUUGGGGAUGGACUCGCGGCUUAUCAGCUUGUUGGUGGGGUAGUGGCUUACCAAGGCUUUGACGGGUAGCCGGCCUGAGAGGGUGACCGGCCACAUUGGGACUGAGAUACGGCCCAGCCUCCUACGGGAGGCAGCAGUGGGGAAUAUUGCACAAUGGGCGGAAGCCUGAUGCAGCAACGCCGCGUGCGGGAUGACGGCCUUCGGGUUGUAAACCGCUUUCGCCUGUGACGAAGCGUGAGUGACGGUAAUGGGUAAAGAAGCACCGGCUAACUACGUG